GACGAACGCUGGCGGCGUGCUUAACACAUGCAAGUCGAGCGGUAAGGCCCUUUCGGGGGUACACGAGCGGCGAACGGGUGAGUAACACGUGGGUGACCUGCCCUCAGCUCUGGGAUAAGCCCGGGAAACUGGGUCUAAUACCGGAUAUGACUCCAUGACGCAUGUUGUGGGGUGGAAAGCCUUGUGCGGCUGAGGAUGGGCCCGCGGCCUAUCAGCUUGUUGGUGGGGUGAUGGCCUACCAAGGCGACGACGGGUAGCCGGCCUGAGAGGGCGACCGGCCACACUGGGACUGAGACACGGCCCAGACUCCUACGGGAGGCAGCAGUGGGGAAUCUUGCGCAAUGGGCGAAAGCCUGACGCAGCGACGCCGCGUGCGGGAAGAAGGCCUCGG
rnacentral:rRNA from 1 species